AGUGAACGCUGGCGGUAGGCCUAACACAUGCAAGUCGAACGGCAGCACAGUAAGAGCUUGCUCUUACGGGUGGCGAGUGGCGGACGGGUGAGGAAUACAUCGGAAUCUACUUUUUCGUGGGGGAUAACGUAGGGAAACUUACGCUAAUACCGCAUACGACCUACGGGUGAAAGCAGUGGAUCUUCGGACCUUGCGCGAUUGAAUGAGCCGAAGUCGGAUUAGCUAGUUGGCGGGGUAAAGGCCCACCAAGGCGACGAUCCGUAGCUGGUCUGAGAGGAUGAUCAGCCACACUGGAACUGAGACACGGUCCAGACUCCUACGGGAGGCAGCAGUGGGGAAUAUUGGACAAUGGGCGCAAGCCUGAUCCAGCCAUACCGCGUGGGUGAAGAAGGCCUUCGGGUUGUAAAGCCCUUUUGUUGGGAAAGAAAAGCAGCAGGUUAAUACCCCGCUGUUCUGACGGUACCCAAAGAAUAAGCACCGGCUAACUUCGUG
rnacentral:rRNA from 1 species